rnacentral:tRNA from 2 species
GCCCCCGUAUCCCAACUGGCCAGAGGACGGGAACUUAAAAUUCUCGACAGUGUGGGUUCGACUCCCACCGGGGGCA